rnacentral:rRNA from 1 species
CCUACGGGUGGCUGCAGUGAGGAAUAUUGGUCAAUGGGCGGGAGCCUGAACCAGCCAAGUAGCGUGAGGGAUGACUGCCCUACGGAUUGUAGACUUCUUUUAUAAAGGGAUAAAGUGAGGCACGUGUGCCUUUUUGUAUGUACUUUAUGAAUAAGGAUCGGCUAACUCCGUGCCAGCAGCCGCGGUAAUACGGAGGAUCCGAGCGUUAUCCGGAUUUAUUGGGUUUAAAGGGAGCGUAGAUGGGUUGUUAAGUCAGUUGUGAAAGUUUGCGGCUCAACCGUAGCAUUGCAAUUGAUACUGGCAGCCUUGAGUACAGUUGAGGUAGGCGGAAUUCGUGGUGUAGCGGUGAAAUGCUUAGAUAUCACGAAGAACUCCGAUUGCGAAGGCAGCUUACGAAACUGCCACUGACAUUGAUGCUCGAAAGUGCGGGUAUCAAACAGGAUUAGAUACCCUUGUAGUC